GAGUUUGAUCAUGGCUCAAAACGAACGCUGGCGGCAUGCCUAACACAUGCAAGUCGAACGAGACCUUCGGGUCUAGUGGCGCACGGGUGCGUAACGCGUGGGAACCUGCCCUUAGGUUCGGAAUAACUCAGNGAAAUUUGAGCUAAUACCGGAUAAUGUCUUCGGGCCAAAGAUUUAUCGCCUUUGGAUGGGCCCGCGUUGGAUU
rnacentral:rRNA from 1 species